rnacentral:rRNA from 1 species
ACGCGAGCUGGGUUUAGAACGUCGUGAGACAGUUCGGUCCCUAUCCUCUGUAGCCGAAGGGAAUUUGAGGAGAUCUGACCCUAGUACGAGAGGACCGGGUUGGACGUAGCUCUAGUGUGCCAGUUGUUCCGCCAGGAGCAUGGCUGGUUGGCCACCUACGGAAGGGAUAACCGCUGAAAGCAUCUAAGUGGGAAGCCCGUUCCAAGAUGAAUUUAGCCACCGGGUAACCGGGUAAGGCCCGUGGUAGACCACCACGUUGAUAGGCCGGAAGUGUACGCACAGCAAUGUGUUUAGCUGACCGGUACUAAUCGGCCGAGGGCUUGGAU